UAAUAAAAACAUAAGAUAGCCAAUGAAUAUGCUAUUAGGCAAAUAUAUUUGAAAUUAGAUAGUAACUACCUGUGCAAACUUUUCGUGUACUGCUUUAAAAUCUAAGUAUUCGUAAUGAAACGAAGCAAUAUGUAAACAGAAUGUCAUUUUGGAUUUUCUACAGCUAGAACAAAUUUCAUUGCAGAAUUAUCUCUGCAGAGUGAUUCAGUAUGGAAUCUUCUAAGACUCAAACAUGUAGCCUGUGUAACAAACAAGCCACCAAAUGGUGCCCAGAAUGUGCAAACUUCCUGUGUAAAAAUUGCGCCAGACAUCACAGCUAUUCCUCAUCUACAAUGCGUCAUGAACUUGUCAAUAUAGAGAACUAUUUAGGAUUACCCAAAUCAGUUCUGUCCAUUAAAGACGUUUGUAUUCUGCAUAAUAAUACAUAUGAAUUGUAUUGUAAAUUUCAUCAAGAUUUGUGUUGUGCAUCAUGUGUAAGCGACACCCACAAGAAAUGCCUGGAAUUUUGACCUAUUAAUGAGGUAAUACAAAAUGCAAAGACAUCGGUCAUUUUUGAUAAACUGGAACAAAACCUGUCAGACACUCGUAAGGAAAUACGAUUACUAAGAAAGAACAUAUACAUGAAUACCAUCCAAAUCAGAAACCAGAAGAAACAGUGCUUAUCUAAAAUAUCAAAUAUUCGAAAGAUAAUUAAUGAGCAUUUAGACAGACUUCAAGAAGAUAUACAAGAGAGACUUUAUGGAAUUGAAACUGAGGUUCAAACAAAACUAAAUAAGAUGUUAAGUGAAAUGACAGAAAAAUUGGAAUUGUUUGAUCAAAUGCAUUUAGAUAUAACAAAUAUCAAACACUAUGCUAGUGAUUUACAAACAUUUUUAGGGGUUAAAGAAAUGACAGAGAAGGCUGAUCAAGAAAAUAGUAAUAUAGAAGAUAUGAACAAUUACGAAGUUGUCAAGUUAGAUAUAACUAUUUCAGAUGACUUAUCGUCACUUGUCCACACAAUUUCAUCUUUUGGUGAAAUAUUUACAGACACAGAACAAUCAACAGAAACUCUUUCAACUAGAAGCAUCGAUUUUCAAGCACCGAUUGAAGUGCCAACGACAGUGACAAAAAAGAGUACCAUACACCUGCCGCAUGGUAAACAUGAUGUCUGUGUGCAUGGUUGUGAAAUUUUAGAAGAUGGUUUAAUUCUGUUUGCAGAUUUCGACAAUAAAAGACUAAUAACAUACUCUGAAGAUGAUGUGGAUUAUUUCGAAUUCAUGAACUUACCAGGUAAACCGUUUGACCUUGUUCAUACUACAAACGAUAAUAUAUGUGUAACUCUUUCAGAUAAAAAAACGUAUGCUACUCAUAAAUAUAUCUACUAAACUAAUACUUAAUUCAGUAGAUGUAGGCCAUCGCUGCUUUGGGACUGCUGCAGACUUGCAACAUUUAGCCAUUCGCGCUAUACAUUCUAUAACAUCAGAUCACGAGAUCAUAUUUUAUAAUUUUGAUGGCAAGUUAAUACAUCGUGUCAAAGUUCCCGGACAUUCUGCCAGACAAAUCUGUUACAGUGGUAAUGAAGUGAAAUGUACAGAGUCAGAAAAAAACAUAGUUUCAUGUUAUACUAAAGACGGUAAUCUAUCAUGGGCUUUCAGUGAUGAGGAUAUCAUUCGGUAUCCUGCUGGAGUUGCCGAAGAUCGAAACCGAUUUAUUUAUCUAAUCGGACAAGAAACAAAUAAUGUCAUUGUUAUUACGCCAAAUGGGCAGUAUUGUAAACAAAUUUUAUCGCUAAAAGAUGGCUUAGACAAACCUUUAGCGGUGUGUAUCAAUGUUUCAAGAAAUGAACUAUUAGUGUGCAAUUUUUCGGGAAAGGCGAUUCUCUUUGCGCUAGGUUAAUGUAAAUUACAAACGGGAUGUAAUGUUAAAAGUUCGAACUGAGACAAAGUACUGUUUAUAUGCGUCUUGGGUGCCAGACAAACAUUUCAUGUCAGUUUCAAUCUAAAACAACUAACAAAAAAACUAAUCUGUGUUUAGAUGCAAUAAAAAUCAAAAUAUUUGGAAUAAAGCAGGCGUUUGUAUGAAUUCUGACAUUUAAAGUUAUAAGUGAACUCAAUGUGUAUUUUGUUACAUUGACAGAAUUUUGAUUACUCGACAACACCUAUUUACAGUGAAAUAAAUAAUGUCUAGAGCAAGUAUGUGCGUGGAAGAUCCCUGCAUUUGUCAAAUGUUGAAGGACAGUAUAUUGUUUCUGAUUAAAUUAUGCUAUGUUUAUGCGAACAAAGUAUACGAAUCAAAGUACUAAAAUACUGAACAUCGGAUGACCGCAAGUUCUUGUGGAUGGUCAAAAGCACUUGUCACAGAAAAAAAUAACAUCUCUAUACCUAAAACUGAGGUUAAUGUAGAGAGAUUUUUUUUUCUUAGACAAGUUCGUGCGUGGAUGAUAAAAUAAAUGACAGGAAAUUCAACCUCACCGUAAUAACUAUUAUAUUGUAGUGAUACAAAUCAGUAUACACUGGUUUGUUGUUAUAUAUUAUAUUAAUAUAACAGUUACAUGUAUAUAUAAUUUUCAUCCAUUUGUAUAUCAUUUUAUUCUACUAUACUAAUAAUAGUGCAGUGCAAGUUCAUGGUGGACACUCUUCUGUAAAAAUUCGAUUUUUCUUAAAGAUUGGAUAUGAGUAGGCAUUCAUAUUUUCCCGCAAAAACAAUCUUCCAUGCAGAAUUACCGGUCCUUGCCGGGAUUGUCGCAAAACGUUCUUGAGAUAUUCUUCCGCAUGCUUUAACACAAUUUUUCGGUACGUGUGCAUAGAUAUUAUCAAUGAUUUUUUACUUAUAUAUAUAUAUCUAACGACAAAACAUUUUCAUAUUAUUAAUUUAUUUUCUAAACAAAAAUAUUUUUAUCAGUAUUCAUUGAAGAGAUGUUUUUAUAACAAACGAUAAGGAAUGUUAUUUUGCACUCGUUAAUAUCCGCGUAUUUAUCAUGUUUAUAGAUCGGUUACAAACCCAAAACGAAUGUUACGUAAUGGAAAUCUAGGCGAUAGCAAUACAUCGGAAUGCCUUUGUAUUGUAGCCAUGCAAAAACAUUAUUAAAUAGUAAACUUUCGUAAUAUAUAUAUAUAUAUUUAAUAAGCAGCUUACAUCUUGUUUCAAACAUAAUUAGAAUCUGGUCAUUGUUACUGAAUAUAUACUAAUAUACUAAUAUAUAGCGGAUAAACAGACAGAUGGACUACUGGAUCACUGUUCACUAUUAUGCGAAGACAACUGGGGUGAAUAAUAAAAAAUGACUGCACCUUUUGAAGGAAAUAUAGUGUUGUAAUAUUAGAUCGUUCUGAAUUAAUCACCAAUUAUUGGUAUGACGAUGUAUCCAUCAAAUAGUAUUAAAAAGCACUGAAUGGUGUUGUAAAGCAUGCAUGUACAUGUAGUACAUUUAUACUUAAUUGUUUACUUUUCAUCUAUUCAAAACUGCAGAACAAUGGCAUCUUUAGCAUUGAGAUAUACAGAUAUCAUGAAUAUUUCAAACAAAUUGUUUUUGAAACAGGAACAUAAAAUGAACCUUAAAUUAGGUGAUCCUGUAGAAAAAUGACACAACUAAUCUAUCGAAAAGUACAUAAUAAUGUUCUAAUAAUAAUGUUCAUUGUAAAGGAGGGAAGAUACCUAGAGUAAAACAAAAAUCAUAAGGGAAAAAACAGCAAACACCAAGGCAAAAAAGAAAAAGCACUUUACUACACAACUAAGGAUUGAGUUGUGGCUUUGUCAGUUUGUUUCGCCUUGUGAGUUUGAAUUCACUUUGGUAUCUUUCGCCUCUCUUUUAUCAAGUUACGUCUUCUGUUAAGGUACAUAACAUCACCAAUAGAUGACAAAUUGGCGUUUUCUCAACGAUCAUGACAAGAACAAAUGGAAAUGAACUCUUUUAAACCUUAUUGUUGCCAUCGUCAUCUGGAAACAUAUUACGAAAAAUCAAUAGGACGGAUUUAAAAAAAAAUAUAUGUACACAUUUAUUAAAUAUCAACGAUAAUAACUGUCCUUUCCUGUAUUUAGAUAUUUCAGGGAAACUCUACACAAAAAUUUAGGACAAAAGGGACGAUUUUUCGUUCCCUAUUGUUAAUUUUCCUUUUUUUACACCAGUGUCCCAGGUUAGGGGAGGGUUUAGCGCCCAUUUACAUGUCUAAUCCCGCCACAUUAUGUGUGUGUUUGUCCAAAGUCGGGACCCUGUAAUUCGGUGGUUGACGUUUUUUUCUGUAUAGCAUAUUUGUUUUUCGUUUGUUGUUUUGUACAUAAAUCAGACUGUUAGUUAUCUUA